GCGUUUCUCGUCCUGGGACUCCCUACAGGCACCCGUAGGUCUCUGGAGAUCCCGCGAGAUCAGGAAUCGGCUGGAAAGUGUGGUUGUGGCUGCACCUCCUGCAGCCAUAUGGCGCCUGUCGCUACGCAUUUGCUGAGGCUCUUCCACAGCCCUCAGGACCAGCACUUCAAAAUGAAAGGUUCAACUCAGAUAUUUGAAAUGCACUAUCCUUCCAGAAAUCACAUUGGAGGCUUUGUGGUUCCCUCAGUGUCCACUGGUUCCCUCAACCGAUAGUAGGCCACACAGAAGAAGCCCUAACAACUGAAAACGUAGCUUUCUUUUCAGGGUGACCAGGUGCUCCAUCAGGGCGUACUUUUUGUGUGGAAGAGCAGGUAGUCACUUGCCUCCUUGUUGGAAACGAUUUGCUUCUUACUUGAGGUUGUAGAGAUCUUCAAAUAUUUAGUCCAUCUUUUCAAGGAUGUUUGCAUAGUGCACAACAUUGGAAGAUACAGUGCCUUCCUUCAGAGGAAGAGACAAGUGUGUUUUCCCUCUAGUAUGAUGACGAUGAUGUCUUCCUUCGGAGAAGAGGGUGCUGCGUGACAAUAAAGGAUAUGUUUUAAAACAGAUGGGAAGAGUAGCAUGUGAUGCCCCUUCCAUUCUAUCCUGUCUCUGAGCCACCCUGUGCUUCUGUACAAGUUUCUGACAGUCUUGUGGCUCCCAACAAGAAGUGGAUUUAUACACUCCAGGAGGACUAGUUUCUUUUUUCUCCACCUCCAUGUUGCUAACCAUAAUUCUGACUCUGCCAGAGGAGAGGGAGAAGAGUGAGAAAAGAUUUUACUCCAGUGGUACCAUCUCAAUGCGGCAAGUAUUUAAGAUUGCCAGUUUAAAGCACAGAUUCUUGAAUAAUUUUAUGUGGACAGCAUCACCACUAUAUCCACUUUUCAGAGAGAUAUUAAUAUGCCAAAAUGUGAAUUCAGUCACAAUUACGACGUUGAGUUCUACUUGAAACUGGGUAAAGAAACAAAAGGAUUGCAGUAUAUGGAUGCUGUGGUGUUUUGUGAGUACAGUUGAUAUACCAGCCAAGAUGACACCAAGGACAUCCCCAAAAGUUAUUCAGACUGCAUGAUAGGUCUUCAUCUAUAUUCAAGUUACCCAGUUCUUACUUCUGCCAGCUCACAGUUCUGAAGAAGAAGAAAACAAGAGGUUUUAAAGAUACCUGCUUGACUAACACUUGUCUGUUUAUCAAAUUGAGAAAUAAACAGGUAAGUACACAAAGUUUUACAUAUUGUGUCCAAAAAUCAUUCAAAGCAACCCUGUGACUCCUCCCUCCCUGAAGUAUUUUCUCCCAUGUUCUUUCUCAAGCUUUUUAAAAGUUAAGUUUAAAAUAAUUUCUAAAUGGUUUAAAACUCAAAAGAAUUUGCAUAUAUAGUACAGAGAGCUUGGUUUUUCCAUGCACAAGCUUCCUCCGAUGAUAAUAUCUUGCAUAACCAUUGUACAGUGUCAGUUUGGUUUAGCUCAGGCUUCCAUAGCCAUAUACAAAGUUGUUGAUAAUGGAAAGGAAAAUGUACAGGUGUUUUGUUGAUGCAGUUGAAGCGUGAUGUUGGCCUUGUAAUAAAAAUUAGAGUAAUUUUAAUUUACCUCUCAGGAUAUAUCCAUAUUUUCAUUGGAUAAUUAGGGCAGCAACAAGGAGAGAAUUCAGCAAUGAACUAAGAGAGAGAAGAGAGUGAUUUAAUUUCUAAAUUCAUUACUUUGGGACAGCUUAUUUUCCUCAGCAAUAAAAUGUGUAUAAAUUUCCUUGCCAAGUAUCCUUAACAUGAUUGUUUGGAGGAUGAACAUUGGUUUAGUGACAUACUUGAAAUGUUUAUAAAUUCUAGGAUUAAUGUUUACAGGAAAGAACUGAUGAUCAUUUGACUCAUGUUUCUACACUGCUCUCUUACUUUGUAGCAAAUCCAUUGAAAUAAAGGUAAUAAUAUUUGAAUAGUCUUUGUAAACCACUUUAUAAAUUACUAGUUGAAUAUGUACAGUAACAUCAUAUGUUAUGUAUUAUAAUUCCCACUUCAUUGAUGGAGGAAUAGAUUAUGUAAGUUUCUCAAGCUCAUGAAAACAAUGAGUGAUGGAUCAAAAAUUUCAAUCAGACCCUUUAUUUCUCUAAUGCUACUGACAAUGGAUAUGUCACAGAGGCAGAAUUAGAGCCAGGCAAGUGAAGUAAAGAAGUUGCCUUCAGUAAAAAAUUUAAUGGGAUGCUAAAAACUCAGCAAUCAAGAUAAAUAUUUUAAUGCAGUAUUUUAAGGUAAUAAUACAAAAUAUCCAUGAUUAACAAAAUAUCAAAAUUUGAAAUAAAGACACAUCUUAUGAUUGACUUUUAGUUUUGCCUAAAGUUCCUUACUUAUAUGUGUCUGCAUGGCACUGAAUAUGUGGUUUGUAUAUUGGACUCUGGAGUUGUGAAGCUUGGGCACAAAUUCCUGUACUUACUCAUGGUAUACUCAUGGUAUAAUAAGCACAUAAUCUCACUUCUAUAAGCCCAAAUGUUCUCACCUAUAAAAUGUUUAUAACAUUAUUGCUUCCUUGAUAGGGUUUAUAGGAGGAUUAAAGAGACAAAGUGCUUGGUACAUUUUGUGGCAAUUUAUAAACAUUCAAUAUAUGACAUAAAGUUUUAGCUCUUAUUUAUGCUUAUAGUUAAAUAUAGCUUGUGUAGCAUAUAUGAAAAUACAUAACACAAUACAUUUAUGUAAAUAAAUGCAAGCACAUACAGAUGCACUACACACACACACACACACACACACACACACACACACACGUAUAAAAUCUCCAGAAAAACAUGAUAAAGCAGUGCAACAGCAUGAAGAUUAUUCAAACUAUUGGCGGUUUUAAGACCAUCUUCCCAGAAUCUUGGAAGUGUUUCAAAAUAGGAAGAUUAGUGAAGGAUAUUUAUUGGGUUUGAGAUUAAGGACUGGAUGAUUUUGAGGAGAGCCUGAAAGAGGAAAAAAAAGUGCUUGGGAUGGUCAGAGUUUGACACAGUAUCUUUGGACUGGGAAUCACAGAGAAGAAUGAGCCUGGAUAUGAGUCUUGGUGAGUACAUGAUUAAAUCUGACAGGAAAGCUGUUAGUUGUUUUACAUACCCAUCUCCCAAAAACAGUUAUCUCCUACAGCAAGUUCAUGUCACUUUUUAUUGUUAUUAGCAUUGCUUAACACAGAGGCAGGAAAUAUUUUGUUGCCUUCAUUUUUCUUUCUUUUUCUCUAUAUGUAAACAUAAACAUGUGUCUUUAUAAAUGUAUUAUACACACACACAGAUAAUAAGUAGGCAAAAUCUUUUCAGUUGCACUAUACAGUAAUUUAAAUGUGGUACUUACUGCUCCGAGUGAAUCUAAAAUCAUCAUCCUAGUGCUUGGGACCCUGUUAGCAGCCACUGCUCCAGUACUGUUUGGAUUCCAUCCCCAUAGGUGCAGCAACUUCACUGCAUAGUUAUGCUGUCUUUUCAGAUAAGAUGACAUUUAUUGUGCAUUAUCAAAUUUAUCCUAAACUUAAUUUAUUAUAACCUGUGAUACCUGACAUUUUGAAAAAUUCAUUAAAAUACAUAUACAAACAACUGACUAUCUUUGAAACAAAGGGUGGUUUACAAAGUUAUUAAUGAAUGUUUAUGUGUGUGCUCUUUGUAGUUAGCUGGUUAUUUCUAGAAACCUACUACUUAGCCUGAAUUUUAUUGUGUUCUUUUGAGGAAUAUUCUUAAACUAAAAUUAGCUAUAAUUUUUUUUUCUUAAUACUUGCAGCCAUGUAACUGAAAUAGCAAGUCAGUGACAGGUAGGAAAGACGUAACAAAGCUUGGAACCCAGAGACCCAAAUUUCAGUCUCUUAACCCUAUUUGCAACAGGAACUAAUAUGUAUCUUGUUAUUGCUAUUGAGCUACAGAACAAAGAGGUUAAAAGAUAAUACUAUCUAUGCUAUUUUAUGGUCUUGCUUUAAUAAAUUUAUAUUUUAAAAUGGCUUAUAUUUACAUGUUAUUAAAACCACAAUGAAGUGAUGGAGAGAAAUCACAUAAGUUAAAUUAGACAUCUUGGAACUUUUGUAGAGUUUUGUUUUUUUUUUUUUAUUUUGAAGACUACUAUGCAGCUCUUCUUUGUUAACUGUCAUUAUCUGUAAGCAUGAGAAAGAGUACAAAAGUUCUUACAUUACUGUGCCUUUCUUUUACAAUUGCAAUUCAUAAUAUUCCCAUAAUUUAUAAACAUAGGCACCUGGAGGGGCAUAAAUCUUCACCAUAUCACAUAAUAUAAUCAUAGGAAAAGAGAGAAAUAAAUCUUACAACGUGACCAAAGAUAACAACACUUAAACUAAUCCACAUAAAAUGUUCUUUUAAUUUUGAUUUUUGUGUUUGUGGUCAUGCUGAGAAAAAUGAUACUGUACUGAUGAUAGACAAAGCACACACAUGAAGAACUUGAGAGAAAGAUUAAUUUGUUAUUGUGUUAUUACUAGACGACGAUGAUCAAAUCACACACAUAAAACACAACACUCAGAACACCCUGCAACUUUGCUGAAUUCAUGAGUCAGUUCUAACAGUUUUUUGGUGGAAUCUUUUGGGUUUUCCUUAUAGAGUAUCAUGUCAUCUGCGAAGAGUGAAAGUUUGACCUCCUCCUGACCAAUUUGGAUGCCUUUUAUUUCUUUGUGUUGUCUGAUGGCUGAGACUAAGACUUCCAAUACUAUGUUGAAUAACAGUGGUGACAGUGGACAUCCCUGUCUUGUCCCUGUCCUUAGGGGGGAAGCUUUCAGUUUUCCCCCUUUGAGGAUUAUGUUAGCGUUGGGUCUUUCAUAUAUGACUUAUAUGAUCUCAAGGUAUGAUCCUUCUAUCCCUACUUUCUUGAGGGUUUUAAUCAAGAAAGAAUGCUGUAUUUUUUCAAUUGCUUUCU